GAUGAACGCUUGCGGCGUGCCUAAUACAUGCAAGUCGAGCGAACAGAUGAGGAGCUUGCUCCUCUGACGUUAGCGGCGGACGGGUGAGUAACACGUGGAUAACCUACCUAUAAGACUGGGAUAACUUCGGGAAACCGGAGCUAAUACCGGAUAAUAUAUUGAACCGCAUGGUUCAAUAGUGAAAGACGGUUUUGCUGUCACUUAUAGAUGGAUCCGCGCCGCAUUAGCUAGUUGGUAAGGUAACGGCUUACCAAGGCAACGAUGCGUAGCCGACCUGAGAGGGUGAUCGGCCACACUGGAACUGAGACACGGUCCAGACUCCUACGGGAGGCAGCAGUAGGGAAUCUUCCGCAAUGGGCGAAAGCCUGACGGAGCAACGCCGCGUGAGUGAUGAAGGUCUUCGGAUCGUAAAGCUCUGUUAUUAGGGAAGAACAAAUGUGUAAGUAACUAUGCACGUCUUGACGGUACCUAAUCAGAAAGCCACGGCUAACUACGUG
rnacentral:rRNA from 1 species